GCUCCGGUAGCAUAGUGGUAUUAUUGCCUCGUACUUAUAAACAUGUCCUGUUUAUGCAAUGCGAAGGUCCCGGGUUCGAACCCCGGUCGGAGCA